rnacentral:rRNA from 1 species
UCAAGUUAUUAAGGGUGCAGGGCGGAUGCCUUGGCACUAGGAGCCGAUGAAGGACGUGAUAAGCUGCGAUAAGCUUCGGGGAGUUGCACGUAAACUUUGAUCCGAAGAUUUCCGAAUGAGGAAACUCACUUAGAGUAAUGUCUAAGUAUCAUUAAGUGAAUACAUAGCUUAAUGAGGGGAACUCAGGGAACUGAAACAUCUAAGUACCUGAAGGAAGAGAAAGAAAUUCGAUUCCGUAAGUAGCGGCGAGCGAACGCGGAUUAGCCCAAACCAAUAAAGUUUUCUUUAUUGGGGUUGCGGACAUAUCAUAACGAAGAGGUAUCGUAAUUGAAGAGGUUUGGAAAGACCCACCACAGAAGGUAAUAGUCCUGUAUGUUAAACGAGAAGACUUUAGAUAUGAUCCAGAGUACCACGGGACACGUGAAACCCUGUGGGAAGCAGGAGGGACCACCCUCCAAGGCUAAAUACUACCUAGUGACCGAUAGCGUAUAGUACCGUGAGGGAAAGGUGAAAAGAACCCCGGGAGGGGAGUGAAAUAGAACCUGAAACCCUGCACUUACAAGCUGUGGAAGCACAUUUCUUGUGUGACCGCGUACUUUUUGUAGAACGGGCCAACGAGUUACGUUAAGUAGCAAGGUUAAGCACUUAAGGUGCGGAGCCGUAGCGAAAGCGAGUUUUAACUGAGCGUUCAGUUACUUGACGUAGACCCGAAACCGGGCGACCUACCCAUGAGCAGGAUGAAGCGAAAGUAAAAUUUCGUGGAGGUCCGAACCCACGAGCGUUGAAAAGCUCGGGGAUGACUUGUGGGUAGCGGUGAAAUUCCAAUCGAGCCCGGAGAUAGCUGGUUCUCCCCGAAAUAGCUUUAGGGCUAGCCUCAAGGUGAGAGAUACGGAGGUAGAGCACUGAAUGUCCUAGGGGGUAUUGCACCUACCGAAGACUAUCAAACUCCGAAUGCCGUCAUCUUAUACUUGGGAGUCAGACUGUGGGUGAUAAGAUUCAUAGUCGAAAGGGCAACAGCCCAGAUCGUCAGCUAAGGUCCCUAAAUGUAAGUUAAGUGGUAAAGGAUGUGGGAUUGCACAGACAACCAGGAUGUUGGCUUAGAAGCAGCCACUCAUUCAAAGAGUGCGUAAUAGCUCACUGGUCGAGUGAUCCUGCGCCGAAGAUUUCCGGGGCUAAAACUUACUACCGAAGCUACGGCAUCAGUAAUGAUGGGUAGGGGAGCUUCCCAUACGGGUUGAAGCAUGACCGUAAGGACAUGUGGACAGUAUGGGAGUGAGAAUGUUGGCAUGAGUAGCGAGAUGUGGGUGAGAAUCCCACAGGCCGUAAACCCAAGGUUUCCAGGGGAAGGUUCGUCCGCCCUGGGUUAGUCGGGACCUAAGCUGAGGCCGAAAGGCGUAGGUGAUGGACAACAGGUUGAUAUUCCUGUACUACCGAUAACCGUUUGAGAGAAGGGAUGACACAGUAGGAUAAGCUAAGCACACUGUUGGUUAUGUGUGCCCAAGCAUUGAGGCAGUCAAAGUAGGCAAAUCCGCUUUGAUAAUGCUGGGAUGUGAUGGGGAGCGAAAUUUAGUAGCGAAGUAGCUGAUUUCACACUGUCAAGAAAAGUCUCUAUCGAGGUUAAAGGUACCCGUACCGCAAACCGACACAGGUGGGUGAGGAGAGUAUCCUAAGGCCAGCGAGAGAACUGUUGUUAAGGAACUCGGCAAAAUGACCCCGUAACUUAGGGAUAAGGGGUGCCACCAUCAGGUGGCCGCAGAGAAUAGGCCCAAGCGACUGUUUACCAAAAACAUAGGUUUCUGCUAAGUCGCAAGACGAUGUAUAGGAGCUGACGCCUGCCCGGUGCUGGAAGGUUAAGGGGAUCUGUUAGAGUAAUCGAAGCAGUGAACUUAAGCCCCAGUAAACGGCGGCCGUAACUAUAACGGUCCUAAGGUAGCGAAAUUCCUUGUCGGGUAAGUUCCGACCCGCACGAAAGGCGUAACGAUUUGGGCACUGUCUCAACAACAGACUCGGUGAAAUUGU